GGGUCGGCUCGCCUAUUAGGGUGGGCAGCGCUCUGUAAAAGCGUCGUUUUUAUGCGUUGCAGGUGCGAAUCCUGCCCGACCCU
rnacentral:tRNA from 1 species